UACGGAGGGUGCAAGCGUUAUCCGGAUUCACUGGGUUUAAAGGGUGCGUAGGCGGGUUGGUAAGUCCGUGGUGAAAUCCCCAAGCUUAACUUGGGAACUGCCGUGGAUACUAUCAAUCUUGAAUAUCGUGGAGGUAAGCGGAAUAUGUCAUGUAGCGGUGAAAUGCUUAGAUAUGACAUAGAACACCAAUUGCGUAGGCAGCUUACUACACGAUCAUUGACGCUGAGGCACGAAAGCGUGGGAGCAAACAGG
rnacentral:rRNA from 1 species